rnacentral:tRNA from 1 species
GAGGGUAUACCUCAGUAGUAGAGCACGUGCUUAGCAUGCACAAGGUCCUAGGUUCUAUCCCCAGUACCUCCA